UCAUAUAGGCUAAGUGAUUCCUUAGUAGUGGUGAGGAGGAGGAGGAGGUGAAGUGUAGUAAUAAUGGGUCGGUGGUGGUGGUGACUUGUGAACCGGUGGUGGUGGGGAUUUGUACUUGUAAACUGGUGGUGGUGGCGGUGGUGAUUUGUAGUGGUAAGGAGGGGGAGGGGAGUGCAUCGGCGGAGGUGGUGGUGAUUUGUAGUGGUAAGGAGGAGGUGGUGAAUGCACCGGAGGUGGUGGUGGUGGUGAUUUGUAGUGGUAAGGAGGAGGUGGUGAAUGCACUGGAGGAGGCGGUGGUGGUGAUUUAAAGUGGUAAGGAGGAGGUGGAGAGUGCACCGGUGGUGGUGGUGAUUUAAAGUGGUAAGGAGGAGGUGGAGAGUGCACCGGUGGUGGUGGUGAUUUAAAGUGGUAAGGAGGAGGUGGAGAGUGCACCGGUGGUGGUGGUGAUUUAAAGUGGUAAGGAGGAGGUGGAGAGUGCACCGGUGGUGGUGGUGAUUUAAAGUGGUAAGGAGGAGGUGGAGAGUGCACCGGUGGUGGUGGUGAUUUAAAGUGGUAAGGAGGAGGUGGAGAGUGCACCGGUGGUGGUGGUGAUUUAAAGUGGUAAGGAGGAGGUGGAGAGUGCACCGGUGGUGGUGGUGAUUUAAAGUGGUAAGGAGGAGGUGGAGAGUGCACCGGUGGUGGUGGUGAUUUAAAGUGGUAAGGAGGAGGUGGAGAGUGCACCGGUGGUGGUGGUGAUUUAAAGUGGUAAGGAGGAGGUGGAGAGUGCACCGGUGGUGGUGGUGAUUUAAAGUGGUAAGGAGGAGGUGGAGAGUGCAGUGGAGGUGGUGGUGGUGAGUGCACCGGAGGUGGCGGUGGUGGUGACUUGUAGUGGUAAGGUGGUGGUGGUGAGUGCACCGGAGGAGGAGGUGGUGGUGGUGAUUUGUACUUGUAAGGAGGAGGAGGUGGUGGUGGGGAUUUCUUAGGAGGUGGAGGAGAGGAGUAAGAGUAAUCUGCUGUGGUUUCUGAUGGCAAGUUGAGAGACACUAAUACCACUAGAAAA
rnacentral:lncRNA from 1 species